GGGUUGUGAGGUUAAGCGACUAAGCGUACACGGUGGAUGCCCUGGCAGUCAGAGGCGAUGAAGGACGUGCUAAUCUGCGAAAAGCGUCGGUAAGGUGAUAUGAACCGUUAUAACCGGCGAUGUCCGAAUGGGGAAACCCAGUGCAAUUCGUUGCACUAUCGUUAACUGAAUACAUAGGUUAACGAGGCGAACCGGGGGAACUGAAACAUCUAAGUACCCCGAGGAAAAGAAAUCAACCGAGAUUCCCCCAGUAGCGGCGAGCGAACGGGGAGCAGCCCAGAGUCUGAAUCAGCUUGUGUGUUAGUGGAACGGUCUGGAAAGUCCGACGGUACAGGGUGAUAGUCCCGUACACCAAAAUGCACAGGUUGUGAACUCGAAGAGUAGGGCGGGACACGUGGUAUCCUGUCUGAAUAUGGGGGGACCAUCCUCCAAGGCUAAAUACUCCUGACUGACCGAUAGUGAACCAGUACCGUGAGGGAAAGGCGAAAAGAACCCCGGCGAGGGGAGUGAAAAAGAACCUGAAACCGUGUACGUACAAGCAGUGGGAGCACCUUCGGGUGUGACUGCGUACCUUUUGUAUAAUGGGUCAGCGACUUAUAUUCUGUAGCAAGGUUAACCGUAUAGGGGAGCCGCAGGGAAACCGAGUCUUAACUGGGCGUUAAGUUGCAGGGUAUAGACCCGAAACCCGGUGAUCUAGCCAUGGGCAGGUUGAAGGUUGGGUAACACUAACUGGAGGACCGAACCGACUAAUGUUGAAAAAUUAGCGGAUGACUUGUGGCUGGGGGUGAAAGGCCAAUCAAACCGGGAGAUAGCUGGUUCUCCCCGAAAGCUAUUUAGGUAGCGCCUCGUGAACUCAUCUUCGGGGGUAGAGCACUGUUUCGGCUAGGGGGUCAUCCCGACUUACCAACCCGAUGCAAACUACGAAUACCGAAGAAUGUUAUCACGGGAGACACACGGCGGGUGCUAACGUCCGUCGUGAAGAGGGAAACAACCCAGACCGCCAGCUAAGGUCCCAAAGUCAUGGUUAAGUGGGAAACGAUGUGGGAAGGCACAGACAGCCAGGAUGUUGGCUUAGAAGCAGCCAUCAUUUAAAGAAAGCGUAAUAGCUCACUGGUCGAGUCGGCCUGCGCGGAAGAUGUAACGGGGCUAAACCAUGCACCGAAGCUGCGGCAGCGACACUAUGUGUUGUUGGGUAGGGGAGCGUUCUGUAAGCCUGCGAAGGUGACCUGUGAGGGUUGCUGGAGGUAUCAGAAGUGCGAAUGCUGACAUAAGUAACGAUAAAGCGGGUGAAAAGCCCGCUCGCCGGAAGACCAAGGGUUCCUGUCCAACGUUAAUCGGGGCAGGGUGAGUCGACCCCUAAGGCGAGGCCGAAAGGCGUAGUCGAUGGGAAACAGGUUAAUAUUCCUGUACUUGGUGUUACUGCGAAGGGGGGACGGAGAAGGCUAUGUUAGCCGGGCGACGGUUGUCCCGGUUUAAGCAUGUAGGCUGGUUGUCCAGGCAAAUCCGGAUAAUCAAGGCUGAGGUGUGAUGACGAGGCACUACGGUGCUGAAGUAACAAAUGCCCUGCUUCCAGGAAAAGCCUCUAAGCAUCAGGUAACAUCAAAUCGUACCCCAAACCGACACAGGUGGUCAGGUAGAGAAUACCAAGGCGCUUGAGAGAACUCGGGUGAAGGAACUAGGCAAAAUGGUGCCGUAACUUCGGGAGAAGGCACGCUGGUGUGUAGGUGAAGUCCCUGCGGAUGGAGCUGAGACCAGUCGAAGAUACCAGCUGGCUGCAACUGUUUAUUAAAAACACAGCACUGUGCAAACACGAAAGUGGACGUAUACGGUGUGACGCCUGCCCGGUGCCGGAAGGUUAAUUGAUGGGGUUAUCCGUAAGGAGAAGCUCUUGAUCGAAGCCCCGGUAAACGGCGGCCGUAACUAUAACGGUCCUAAGGUAGCGAAAUUCCUUGUCGGGUAAGUUCCGACCUGCACGAAUGGCGUAAUGAUGGCCAGGCUGUCUCCACCCGAGACUCAGUGAAAUUGAACUCGCUGUGAAGAUGCAGUGUACCCGCGGCAAGACGGAAAGACCCCGUGAACCUUUACUAUAGCUUGACACUGAACAUUGAGCCUUGAUGUGUAG
rnacentral:rRNA from 1 species